UCAGUGCGAGGAGAAAAAAUGAGCUACACUGUGAAAGUGUUUUCUGUCUUUCAGAGUAAGAACAUAAACCUCUGUGGCUCACUCAAACCAAACUGCCUCAUUUCCUCAUCUGAUGCAUAUAAAGCUCAACCCGAUGCAGCUCUCUCUGAUCUCAGGUCCCUGUAGUAAGCACUCUGCAGAGUACAGCAGCACUUAAUGUAGCACCCACUGAGAAUCAGCUUUCAGAGGAUGAGAUGCAGUCUGCUGUGACCUGGAGCUCUGAGGCCCCAGGGAACAGCCUGCAAUUUUCACAAGGUCAACAGUUAAAGAAAUAACCAGGACGACCCACGGAGCAAAAAGCAGAACGAGUGCUCCACAUUCAGCUGGCUGUCUUCUCAAAGACAUUUCUCCACCGGCUUGUCAGUCAUCAGUGUGUCCAUCACUGAGCUUUUCAAUCGAGAAUGACAGGAGUUGGGAGUCAAAAUGACGAGUUGUGACCUCUGGAGAGUUGAAGUAUUUGAAGCAGGCCUGUGAUGGCACAGUUUGAUGUUGAGAGAACUGGAAACUGCAGUGACUUUCACAGCGAGGAAGAGAACACAGCUUUUAUAUCUGCUGCAGAUUUUAACUCACAAGAUACUGUUACCGGGCCUACAGCUGAAAUGUUCUACGAGAAAAACUACCAAAGAAGAAGAAAAGUAAAACGUUUUCCACAGAGAGGGUCUUGUUUCUGUGCAAAAGGCGAGGAUACCCCUACCAACAGAAUUCGGUCUACCUCCUUCCUCUAUCACGCAGCAGCUCUGGAGCUGACAUGGACCACCCUUUCUGAGGAGAAGUGCAGAGAGGUCAGACUCCAGAGGGAUCUCAUUGUGGAUUGGAUUGGCUGCCUCUCUGCAUUGCUGUCAGGACAUCACACUCUCUCUUCUGAGUGUCAGCUCAGAGCACUGAUCAUCAAUCAAACAGGGUUUCAAAUUGACUCACCAGCCUGUCAUGUGGAUAAAGAGAUGAAAAAAAGCUUCUAUGACUACCAUUUGUUUUCCACCUUUUCUGGUGGAAGGCAGUUAAACCUCUGAAGAAACAAGUUGUCACUCACAGAUUAGUCAGUAUACAUGAUAAUCUGAGUACACAGAUUAUUGUGUAGAUUUAUUUAUGUUUAGAAAUGAGACUGGGAGGACCCUAAUCUCAUCACAGCCUUAUAUAUAAUGUGCUCUCAUGCAGCAUUUUAAACCUCCUGUGACAUUUAGAAGAUUAGUGCCCACAGACAGAUGUCAUUUGAAAAUUGUAAACAACUUUUACUUGCAUAAACACUGAUGAAGAAGCCUGUGAAGUUCAGGAGACACUAAGACAGCCUGUUACAGUCAGAGUAUGAAAAGUUGUGCUGAGCAAACAGUGCAGACUUCAGAGAGUCACACCUCAAAGAAGGUCAAUUCAUGCAGAAUUAUCUUCUGUAAUAUAAAUCUGGCACUAAAUUAUCUAUGAAGGUCAAAGGCCCUACAUCUCCACAGUGAUAGCAUCAGUGUAUCCAAAUACAGCUCAGAAAAACAGUCAGAACGUUGAGAUAGUAAUAUCAACAGGCUGACAUUAUCACAGCAGAGACUAUCAAAUAUUUGAUCACAUUUCCAUCUCAAAAGCAGAGAAGAAAUGUCUUCCUUAGCUCUGUUGAUAAUAUCACGUUUAUGUGUUCUGUUUUCUGAGGAAAUGCUGCAUCUCUGCAGACCACGACACUGCAGGUAAACCAGGACCCUCUGUGCCUCCUGAAGGGCGUCUGUUUUGUGCCGAGUAUGCGGCAACCAUUGCUGAAAGGUCAACGCAGCCUCUCAGUGUGAGAGCUGUGAGAUAUCUCUGUCACUCAGCUGUCCUUCAACAGAUUAUCUACCUCAGCUACCAAUGUCAUAAGGUGCUUAACCUGCAAUCAUAUUGAGAUGUAUCUUUCUGUGAACCAUCGGGGGAUUGUUGUGCAGCUUUUAGAAAGCAUAUUCAACCUCAGCCUCUUACUUGUCUGAAGGACUGCUGCAGGACCACAUUUCAACUAUGCUUCUUCCAGCACUUCCAGACAAUUUAAACUCAAGCAAAAUGGAAUAAAAACAUACACAAUGAGCACAUUCACAUGUUUCAUUAGAUUUAAUGUACUUUGUGUUUUCAUUUGAGUUGGCAGCUUCCUAAAGGAAUAUCUUCUGUAAUGUCUCGUUACAAUAGAAAGGAAAAGUCACUUACAUCUCCGUGUCUAUUUGGAUGUAAAUUACAGUGUCCAGUUCCCUCAAGAAAUACUUUAAUCUCACAAGAGAUUUCUUCAGCAUCUUUACAUAAAAUGUUUCUGUUAAUCUGUUUCAGUUUGUGGUUGAAGCUAAAUGAGAUUAAAGCUCUAUUAAAGUUCUCCAGCAUAGAGUCAUUUCU